UACGAAGGGGACUAGCGUUGUUCGGAAUUACUGGGCGUAAAGCGCACGUAGGCGGAUUUGUAAGUCAGGGGUGAAAUCCCGGGGCUCAACCUCGGAACUGCCUUUGAUACUGCAAAUCUCGAGUCCGAUAGAGGUGGGUGGAAUUCCUAGUGUAGAGGUGAAAUGCGUAGAGAUGUGGAGGAACACCGAUGGCGAAGGCAGCCCCCUGGGCUAACACUGACGCUCAUGCACGAAAGCGUGGGGAGCAAACAGG
rnacentral:rRNA from 1 species